AUUAAUUUAGAAAUUUAGAAUAAAACAAAUAAUGCUUUGACUCUAACCUCAUGCACACGUGUCUCAUCAAAGUACCCAGUGUGAAGGUAAAUGUUGCAUAUAAUGUUGUUUAGGGGGCAUGUUGUUGUUCAGGAUGCUGCUUUUUUAAGAUGCUGCUCUGUCUCAAUUUUUGUAAAGUUUCCGUCAUCAGAGCAAAAAAGGUUGUGAGUUAUUUCACUUAAUUCUAUGAUAAGAUGUAUAGCAUGGUCCUUGCUGCUGAUAAAAACAAAAGUGGAAGUUAUAACAUCUAGAUCAAUAUGAUUUGACAAAAUAAAGUGCUUCAAUGCACGUUUUAUUUCCUGUUGCACAACUGCAACAGUAAGGGCAACAGGUUUUUUUGUGUUCAUUUUUAAGGCACACUCAAAAAAUGUUUCUGGGUCCUGGUAAAUAUUAAGAAAUAUGUAUACAUACAUUUAAGGAAUAUUAUUAUAAAAUGGAAAAAUGAUUCAUUGAAAUCAUAUAAACACCAUUUGAACUGUCCGCGUAUGAACUUUUAAACAAAUAAUCUAGGCCUAAACAAAUAAUGUAUGCACUUGAAAAAAGCUCAUAAUAUUAACUGACAUGCACAUCACACUCCAGAACAGUAGGUGGCAGUAAGAAAUGAAUCGCCUAUUGUCGAAACACAUUUUCAUUGACGGUAUUUAUCUUCUUCCUGCUGGCACCAAGUUGUUACCUUAUUGGUACAGAAAUAUUUUACAUAAAUCAAAACUAUAUAUGUGAAAUUCAUGCUGUAAUUCAGGUGGGAUAACAAACAAAAACAAAAAACACCAAAGAGUAAAACCGGAAAUGGAAUUACGUCACUUCCUGUUCGUCAGUUGGUCUCCUGCUUUGAAAUUGAGGCAAUCGUUUUCAGCCGGAUGGUUGCCCCCUGUGCGAGUGGAAGAUGUGACUUUGAAGACAGUCAUUGUAAAAGGUGCAAAAGGCUUGUCUAAGAUACGCUGGCAGUCUACACCGCAUGGCCUGCGUUGCUGACAUUGAGUGAAAGUUCCUGUGCCUGACAUAUACUUGAGGAAGCAUCUUGGAGGUUGUCAAGGAGAAUGGAGGCAUUGCCAGAAGGAAGGACUAGAGUGGCGAAGUGAUCCAAAGGCAGACUGCACAUCUACGUAUAUGGUUUGCAAGGAACAUCCCGUGCCAGACACUGUGAUACAAGGCAUGGAGCUGUACAGUGAACUCGGAGCAUCUCUUGUGCAUGUGUGAUGCUCUUUGGACUCGGUUACCGGUAUAUACCCUCAAUCUCAACUCUGUGGAUUUGGAUUUACAAUUUUAAGUAUCCAGAUGAACUGAAAUAUAUGUUCUGGUGAAUUUGGAAAAGAUGCCCAAAAGGUUCAAUCACUAUAAACUACAGUAAAUAUGUUGGACACUGGCAAUCUCAGGUUUUAAGCCAUUGUAUAAAAGGACAAUGCAUCACAUUUCUAUGCAUACUUUUCUGUGCUGUUCUCUGAUCUGAGUUGAUGAUUUUUUAGCUCAGCAUGGCAUUGAGUAUCAUUGAGGGUUUUUUUCUAAGCAUUUUCUAUGCAGAUUAAAAGAUGAGCACUAUAAUGAAAGGCGUAAUAACGCCUCAGUAGCACUUCAUGGACACAUUGAUAUCAUAAUUGAAAACAUUUCUCUCUCCCUCUCCUCCCCCACUUUGGGAAAGAAUCAAAGAGUCAAAAGUGCUCCUGUGGGCAGUUAAUUCUAAAAUGUCCAUUCACAAAUAACAUCUUUUUCAUGAAUGUCUAAGUAAAUAAGUGAGUAAAUAGACACAUACUGUUCUGUUGAGAGUAUGUUUUUCGGCCAGAGAUAUCUGACUGCAUUCAAAAUGGUGGAUUAACAUGCAGAGGACUAUUAUUCAUUUGCCCAAGCGAUUAUGACAUUACUUAGAAUUUGCUGGUGGUUGUAAGCAUUCAUGAAAAAGAUGACAUUUCUGAACAGGCCACAUAAAUUAAUGUGGUACAGUACACUGAUAAUUUCAGGUUUUCUGUUUAAUUUCUGUUAAAUCAUACGAUUAUAUUGUCUAGAUUUUGGUGUUUUAUUAUCGUUUGACUGCAUGUUUGUCCAGCUGAUGAAAUAUUAAUAAAAGAAAUGUUUUGACGUUCUUGUCAAGUAUA